UUCCGAGCUCCCUGUGGGACACAGGAGCGGAAUUUUGGGAUUCUGCCGCCCUUGCCAUUCCCGUUUUCCCCAUUUCGGGGUGACCUCCAUGGGAUGAGCUCUCCCCUCUCUGAUCCCUGGGAUCCCCCAUCCCCAUCCCUUCUUCCCACAGAGUCUCUCCCUCCUCUCAUCUCCCCCUUUCCCGGUUUUUUCCUCCCUUUCCCUGGGAAUUUUCCCCUCUUUAGGGCGGGCAGCAGCGCCGCCGCUCCCGAGCAUCCAGAGCGAGCUCGGGGAUCCAUAAAAGGCUCCGGGAUGGAUCGGGAACGCCGGGAAUUCGCACGCACAGCCCCGAGGAGGAGCCCAGCUGGGGGAAACCCUCCCCGCCCUGAGUGUCCUACAUCUUCCAGAGGGAAAACGCCAGCUCCUCUGCAUUUACACGGAUUUUUUUUCCCCCCUCUCCUUUCCCUCUCUUCCCACGCAGCGAAUUCCCAACCCCGGCUGCUCCCGGCGCCGCUCGCAGCCCGGCGGGGAGUGGGAGGAGGAAGAGGAUGCUCGGAGGAUUUGGGAAAAUCCGGAGCAUUUCCAGCCAUGCUCCAGCUGGCGCGGCGGCUCCGGAGCUGCUCGGUCUCUGCCUGAGCUGCUGAGGCGGCUCUGGAGCCGCAGGAUUGAUGGAGAGGCACUGAGAGCAUU
rnacentral:lncRNA from 1 species